GCGUGAGGGAUGAAGGCCUUCGGGUCGUAACCUCUGUCAGGAGGGAAGAAAUGCCAGGGGGCUAAUAUCCCGUUGGUUUGACGGUACCUGCGGAGGAAGCCCCGGCUACACUCCGUCCAGCAGCCGCGGUAAUA
rnacentral:rRNA from 1 species